CAAUAGCGUAUAUUUAAGUUGCUGCAGUUAAAAAGCUCGUAGUUGGAUUUCGGGUGGGAAUGGCCGGUCCGCCGUUUCGGUGUGCACUUGCUACGCCCACCUUGCUGCCGGGGACGUGCUCUUGAGUUCACGCUCGGGACACGGAGUCGGCGAGGUUACUUUGAGUAAAUUAGAGUGUUCAAAGCAGGCCUACGCUCUGAAUACAUUAGCAUGGAAUAACACGAUAGGACUCUGGCCUAUCUUGUUGGUCUGUAGGACCGGAGUAAUGAUUAAGAGGGACAGUCGGGGGCAUUCGUAUUUCAUUGUCAGAGGUGAAAUUCUUGGAUAUAUGAAAGACGAACUACUGCGAAAGCAUUUGCCAAGGAUGUUUUCAUUAA
rnacentral:rRNA from 1 species